rnacentral:rRNA from 1 species
AUGUUAGCUCUAUGGAUGUUUAUGUACCUGCAACUUCUGCCAGCUCUAACUUGGUUAUAUAACAGUUCAAUUCAGUCAAUCUAUCGGGUGUUGAUACACUACUGUGCAAGUUCUAUGGUAUGUGAGUUCCUUCUAUUGCUGCAAGCAUUGACACAAUAUGUCAUGUGCAGGGAGCUCCGCAUCCGAGUCUCGUCCAUCAUCGGCAGCAAGGAGCUGGGCCAAGGGGGCAAGCAGCGUUGCUGGUUCCUUGGGUCACCAUGGCGUGUGGCGGCCUAUUUUGCUUCCAAGAGUAGUACUGUUUAUUUGAAAUUGAAUGAUGUACUCGGCUACUGCCUAGUAAAAAAUUGA